UACGUAGGGUGCGAGCGUUAAUCGGAAUUACUGGGCGUAAAGUGUGCGCAGGCGGCCGCGCAAGUCGAGUGUGAAAGCCCUCGGCUCAACCGGGGAAGUGCACCCGAAACUGCAAGGCUAGAGUCUCGGAGAGGAUCGUGGAAUUCUCGGUGUAGAGGUGAAAUUCGUAGAUAUCGAGAGGAACACCGGUGGCGAAGGCGGCGAUCUGGACGGUGACUGACGCUGAGACGCGAAAGCGUGGGGAGCAAACAGG
rnacentral:rRNA from 1 species